rnacentral:rRNA from 1 species
AUUGAACGCUGGCGGCAGGCCUAACACUUGCAAGUCGAGCGGCAGCGGGAAAGUAGCUUGCUACUUUUGCCGGCGAGCGGCGGACGGGUGAGUAAUGCCUGGGAAAUUGCCCAGUCGAGGGGGAUAACAGUUGGAAACGACUGCUAAUACCGCAUGCGCCCUACGGGGGAAAGCAGGGGACCUUCGGGCCUUGCGCGAUUGGAUAUGCCCAGGUGGGAUUAGCUAGUUGGUGAGGUAAUGGCUCACCAAGGCGACGAUCCCUAGCUGGUCUGGGAGGAUGAACAGCCACACUGGAACUGAGACACGGUCCAGACUCCUACGGGAGGCAGCAGUGGGGAAUAUUGCACAAUGGGGGAAACCCUGAUGCAGCCAUGCCGCGUGUGUGAAGAAGGCCUUCGGGUUGUAAAGCACUUUCAGCGAGGAGGAAAGGUCAGUAGCUAAUAUCUGCUGACUGUGACGUUACUCGCAGAAGAAGCACCGGCUAACUCCGUGCCAGCCGCCGCCGUAAUAC